rnacentral:rRNA from 1 species
UACGUAGGGCCGAGCGUUUGUCCGGAAUUACUGGGCGUAAAGAGCUCGUAGGUGGUUUGUCGCGUUGUUCGUGAAAACUCACAGCUUAACUGUGGGCGUGCGGGCGAUACGGGCAGACUUGAGUACUGCAGGGGAGACUGGAAUUCCUGGUGUAGCGGUGAAAUGCGCAGAUAUCAGGAGGAACACCGGUGGGCGAAAGGCGGGGUCUCUGGGCCGAAA